rnacentral:rRNA from 1 species
GGAUUAGAUACCCUGGUAGUCCACGCCCUAAACGAUGUCUACUAGUUGUCGGGUUUUAAUUAACUUGGUAACGCAGCUAACGCGUGAAGUAGACCGCCUGGGGAGUACGGUCGCAAGAUUAAAACUCAAAGGAAUUGACGGGGACCCGCACAAGCGGUGGAUGAUGUGGAUUAAUUCGAUGCAACGCGAAAAACCUUACCUACCUUUGACAUGUACGGAAGCCACGAGAGAUCGAGGUGUGCUCGAAAGAGAGCCGUAACACAGGUGCUGCAUGGCUGUCGUCAGCUCGUGUCGUGAGAUGUUGGGUUAAGUCCCGCAACGAGCGCAACCCUUGUCAUUAGUUGCUACGAAAGAGCACUCUAAUGAGACUGCCGGUGACAAACCGGAGGAAGGUGGGGAUGACGUCAAGUCCUCAUGGCCCUUAUGGGUAGGGCUUCACACGUCAUACAAUGGUACAUACAGAGGGCCGCCAACCCGCGAGGGGGAGCUAAUCCCAGAAAGUGUAUCGUAGUCCGGAUUGUAGUCUGCAACUCGACUACAUGAAGUUGGAAUCGCUAGUAAUCGCGGAUCAGCAUGUCGCGGUGAAUACGUUCCCGGGUCUUGUACACACCGCCCGUCACACCAUGGGAGCGGGUUUUACCAGAAGUAGGUAGCUUAACCGCAAGGGGGGCGCUUACCACGGUAGGAUUCGUGACUGGGGUGAAGUCGUUAACAAGGUAACC